CAUCCCUCAGUGACUCUCUGACUUGCUUUCACUUUCUUAUUUACCUUUAUUCAAACAGGUGAAGUGCCACCUCCCCCUGGCUAGCCGCUCUUCCCACUCGGCCUCACAAUCCUCUGCUCAUCGCCUGGGCUCCUCUGCUAAGCGAAGCCAGCGCCGCCAAGUAUCUGCUGCCGACUCUUCUGCUUCCUCGGCGCCUCCUCCUCCUACUGCCGCAGCUCCUGCUCCUCCUCCCGUGCAACGCAGACAACCCGCCCCCAGACUGGAUACUCCGUGGCCUUCUAAGAAACCCAGACCGUCCUGAAUAGGCGUGUAUCGGGCUGCGAGUGGCAACGUUGCCCUCACGGCCCCGGCCUCUUCCUCCAUCAGCAGAGCCAUGGAUGAGCACAACAGGCCAGGCAUGGAUCGUGUGGAUAGCCUGGCAGAGUGUUUGGAGGAGCUGAGGAACCAGACCAGGCUGACCCUAAACAACCAGCAGGUCAGCAACCUUGUGGACUAUGACAAGCAGAGAGUGGUGUUGGCGUCCAGGCACCAGGACAGGCUUACCACAGGGAGGUUCAGGUCUCCUAACAAGAAGGCAGAGUUCACUCCAGGUGUGGACAGUCUGAAGCGGUGUUCCCUCAGUUCCACUGCUUCACCUGCCCAGUGGCCAGACUGCUGCCGUCUUGUGGAGGCCAUCUUUGUCAGGCUCUGUUCCAUCCACAGUCCCGAGAAGAAGGGACACUGACUAGAUGGACUCUCAUUUUUCAGGACUACCGCAGCAUACGGCAGCUGGUUCUGGCCAGUGGGGCCAUAAUGCAGAUGACAACCCUGCAGCUGGUGGAGGUGAACCAGACCACCCUCAUCCAGUGGCACAACGGCAGGGUCAAAAGGCAGGAUCUUGCGAUGCUACUGCAGGGGAUUAAUCUGCCUGGUCUCCUCCCUGUGGCUUCUGAGCCUUGAGACCCGGCCAAUGUCCGGCCAGCAGUUGCUCCACCUUAACACCAGGCAGAGACAUUAGUUUAUCCCCUGCCCAGGAGCACUGCAGGGCAGGCAAAGACAAAGCGACGGUCCACCACUGUAAUCACACCACCAGUGGCAGUUCGACCAAGACUGGAAGCACAGAGGCAGCUAUUCCCCCAGGCUUCAACUUCUCCAUUCAUUGUUCCGGCAGCCCCUGUCCUCCAUGGA